CCUACGGGUGGCAGCAGUGGGGAAUAUUGCGCAAUGGGCGAAAGCCUGACGCAGCGACGCCGCGUGAGGGAUGAAGGUCUUCGGAUCGUAAACCUCUGUCAGCAGGGAAGAACGGUCACUGUGCUAAUCAGCAGUGAAUUGACGGUACCUGCAAAGGAAGCACCGGCUAACUCCGUGCCAGCAGCCGCGGUAAUACGGAGGGUGCGAGCGUUAAUCGGAAUUACUGGGCGUAAGGGGCUCGUAGGCGGUAUGUCAAGUCAAGGGUGAAAUCCCCGCGCUCAACGUGGGAACUGCCUUUGAAACUGGGAAACGGGAGUGGGUGAGAGGAUAGUGGAAGUCCAGGUGUAGGAGUGAAAUCCGUAGAUAUCUGGAGGAACAUCAGUGGCGAAGGCGACUAUCUGGCACAUAACUGACGCUGAGGAGCGAAAGCGUGGGUAGCAAACAGGAUUAGAUACCCGGGUAGUC
rnacentral:rRNA from 1 species